AGUGCAGUUCUUCCUCCAACAAACACCUGCAUUCUUUUUUUAAAUUAAAAAAGAAGAUUUGACUGAAAUUAAUCUUUAAUACAUACACUUAAGCAUCAUCGGCGAAUUAAUACAGCAGAUCAUAAGUACCACUGCGGAUUCUUAUUUAAAUAAGGACCAGAUGAUGAUCCAUUACACGAGAUAUUUACAAAUCUACUGUUAACAUUACCGCAAAUUAUAAAACGAAAACCAUCGCCAUCUUCAAUUAGCAGUCUCCUCGAUCUCCUCUGGAUCUUCAAAGUUAGGAUCCUUAGCGUCCAUAGCCUCUCUCUCUCGCCCGAUCUCAGCUCGCGAGUACCCAUCGCCGGACCACGUGAACUUACCGCCAUGUCCGCCUUUCUUCGGCGAUCCACUCAUUCCCGUCGCAGAUCUCCUGUCUUUCCUCGCAUCAGACUUACCCGUACUGCUCUUUUGGCUUUUCCCACUGUUCUUCAUCUUCCGAUCUCAAAUUCUCUCUGCUUAGUGUGACGCGUGGUGGAAGUAGGCGUGAGAGGGUGUAUUUAUAUGAGCCGAGGAAAACAGUAGCAGCUUGAUUCUAUGGGUAGGCCAGUGUGUGGGCUUGGAAUCCAGGGCCACGAAAUGGAUAAAAACGAACAAAUCAAAAAUAAUUAUUUACGAGAUGAGGUGCCAUGGACAGUCUGUUUAAGUAUUAGAUUAUUUAUUUGGUUUAGAUAAUAAGAUUACUUGCCGCCGUACACAUGGCACAAUGAUCACAAAUAAUAAUUUGAAAUUUUUUCUCUAAUCAGAGUGUUUUUUUCUUUUUCUCUUUUUUUUUUUUUUUUUUCUUCUUCUCUCUAAUAAGCUUGAGGUGGUUUACUUGCAUAUAUAAAAUCGUGGUGUGCCCUCCAAGCAUAAAUAUAGUAUACACCAAAGUCAAUAAAUUGAAUCCAUAAAAACUUCAAAGAUUCCAAGACUUGACCGUUGAAAUAUUGUUUGUAUAAACUUAGAAUUAAAAAAUAAAUGGAUGUAAUAUGUAUUGUUUAUUUAGUUGGUAAAUAAAUAAAUAAAUUUAUAUGGUUUAUAUUUAUAAACAAAAAAUAACAUAUUUCAUAUCUAUUGGGUAUAAUGAAGUCAAGUGGGUAUCAACAAUAUUUAAUGACAGUUUAUUUUAAAAAUCAAUGGUUCUUAAUUUCAAUAAACUUUAAUAGUAACCUUUGCAAUUUCCAAAAUACUUUUCACCUACAUCAGUAUGCUUUGUUUUACAUUAUAAAAAUUUCAAGUAUUCUUAUGGUUAAAAAAAGUUAACAACUACUACAUUAAAAAAAAAAAACAAAAGUUGAUAACUACAUAUAUUUUCAGCAUUUAUGGACAAUUUCAUUAUUAAAUUAAAAUAAAUUAAACCAUGAUAAAUACUAAUAAUUUUUUAUUUAAAUAUUUAAUUAACUUUUUUAUAAUAAUUUAUUAUUUUAACGUACAGUAUCAUUUAAAUAAUGAGUCUUAGUGAAAUUAUGUUCAAAUAUUUUCAAUAUUUUAUUCUUAUUUACCAAAUUGAUUAUCUUUUAAUCACUUAUUUAUCUCUAUAUAUAAUUUAUGCAGUUAUAACUAAUAAUAUUUUAAUAUUGUAUUUGUUUAUUUAUCUAAAUACAUAAUAAAAAUAUACUUUUAUUAUUAUUUUUUAAGUUAACUAAUUCAAAAUUUGGUGUUUAUUUUAUGAUAAUAUGGUAUUACGUGGUUUAAUUUUUUUUGUUACUCUUUUAUGAAAUAUUUUUAGAGAAUAUUUAAAAAUACAUAUUUCGAUUUUUAAAUAUAAAUAUUUAAAAAUCUAAACUAAAUAAAUUACAAUAAAAAAUAAUAACUUGAAGAAACUAAUAAUUUUAAAUUAAAUAAUAAAGUCAGAAAUAAAUCACAAAUACUAAACACAAUAGACUAUAAUGUAUUCAAUAAAUUACUAAAUUAGUUUAUGAUGUUUGAUAUUUAUUAUAAUUUAAUUUUAAAUUUUUAAUUGAUUAUAAGUUUGUCCAUAAAAUUUUUUAUUUGUUAAAUGAUUAGAUGAUGUUUUAAUACUUUAAAAAUUAACUAUAAUUAAUUAAUAAUUUUGAUUUAUUUUGUUAAAAAUAAAAAUAAAAAGAGUAAUUGAAAUAGAUUUAAAAAAUAUCAAAAAUUAUUUAAUUAUAAUAAAAAAAUAUUAAAAUUAAAAUUAUAAAUUAAUUUAAUAAUUUAUUCUAUUAAUAUAUAUAAUUUAAAUCACAAAAGACUUGGUUAUAUUUAAUAUAUACAUAUAUAUAAUGUUAGAUUGUUAAGGAAAAAAACAUUAAAUUUUGGUUAGUGGUUCACGGCAACAAUCGUCUCUUACUUGUCAACAUUUCAUUGGCGAACCAAAAUAACUGUACUCUAUCCAAAGCAGGGAAGCCCAGUAAAGAAAUGGCUUUCUCCAAGCCCUAAAGUUGAAUGCAAGCAGAGACAGAAACUAUCAAAACCUUUGAGCGUGUAAGAGAAGGCAAGUGAUGCUGUGAGGGUCUUUUUGCGCAGACAAUUCUUUUAAAGGAAAUUAAAAAACAAGGAAAUUAUAAAGGGGGCUAAUACUUAACUGCUAUGUUUACAUCCUUUACCAUUUUCCUCUCGCCUGUUUCUCCUUCUCAUUUCCUAUCCUUCAAUCGUCUUCCUCCCUCUCUGCCUCCUUCUGGUGAGACCUCAAAAUCAUCUCUCUCUAUAUGUACACGCGUAUGUAUCCAUUUGUCGUUUUCUGUUCCUCUCUAUUCACUUGCUGCUUUACUUCGAGUCUUGUUUCUGACCUUACUUUAUGCUGCUGUCUUCGUGGCCACUUUGAACUCGCAUUACGUUUAAGCUCGUGUUAUUAGCACAGUUUCUUUAUAUUUCCAUGUGGUUAGACUUUUUAUGUUUACGUUGAAGAUUCAAGAAUCAGUAGCCUUAUGCGGCUGGCGAAUCUAGUUUUUGCUAUAUCUAUAUGUUUUUGAUAUAUAUGUAUGUGCGUGUAUACCGUGGGAGAAAAUUAUUUCAGCGUUAUUUGGUUGGUUGGCUUGAUUUCUAAGCCAGGGAUUGACAGAUUGGGUACAUGUUGUGAUUCCAUUUAGUUGCUCAUUUGACUUGCCAAUUUUAUUAGGUUUUGCGGUAAAGUAAAAUUAGUGAAAACAGUAACUCCAAAUCUUAAUUUCUCUUUAGCGACUUCAGUUCCUGAAUUAAAAUGUAAUAUUUAUUUAUAGGUAUUUACCAACGGAUUCUCUGAUCUGAUCAUGUUCAGUCUCACAUUUUAUUUUCCCUUCUCUCUCUCUUUUUUUUUUUUUUGGUUCGAGACAGUAAUUGCAAUCAAUUUAUUGUUCUUUUAUCUGUUCAUUAUCCUUCAUUCAUUCUAGCAAAAUAGAACGGAGGCUGAAUUUAAACUUUAAAUCCUUACUAUAUUCAGAAUGUCUUGUCACAUUACAUUAAGGAAGUUGUUAAUUUGGAGAAGUUUCUAUCAUGUAAUAUACAGAAGAUUUUUUUGCGUGCAGUUCUUUGUUACUUCUUGUUUAUUUUUUAAUUCUUUAUUAUGUUGAAGCAAAUCCUUAUAGUUAUUUAUGUGGUGACUAUGAAACUAGACAGACCUUUUGAGGACAACAUCAAGAAGACUUAUUUCGGCAACUAAAACACAGUCAAUAUCAACCAUGGCAACUGUAAGUUGAUCGAAUGCAAACCAAAAAAGUUGUUUAAGCGUUUCUAUCCGUAUAUGUCAUUGUUGAAUAGUGGAAAUCAAUGUAGCUGUAAUUACCCAGUUGAGAUACUUUCACAAGUUAAACUAUGGCAAAGAUGUUUAUCUUGGGUAUUGAUUUUGAAUGUUGUGCACAGGAUGAAGAGAAUAUUGGCAAUUUAAAGCGACAAUUGGCUAAACUCUUUGAAGAGUCCCUUAAAUUAACAGUUCCUGAUGAAUCUAAUGUUGAGCCGUUAGUUGCUGCAUGCACUGCAAAAUUUGGCGAUUACCAAUGGUAUGACUUAAGUUGGUUCCAUGAGUCAUUUGUUGCAUGCUAAAUCAGAUUUUUUUUUUCUUUAAUGUGUUUCUCUACAUGCAGUAAUAAUGCCAUGGACCUCUGGUCCAAAAUCAAAGGAAAGGGCAGUGGAUUCAGGGGUCCUCCAUCAGUCGGACAGGUAUUAGCAUUGACAUUAUAGAUGUUUCCAGUCUUGUUUCAGACAUUUACUUGUUAGCUUUGUAUGAUAAUCGUCAUUUUUAUUUGCUUUUACAUUUUUAACAGGCCAUCAUGAAAAAUCUUCCACCAUCCAAAAUGAUAGAAUCAUGCUCUGUAGCUGGACCUGGAUUUGUAAAUGUUGUAUUAUCCAAAAAUUGGAUGGCUGAGGUGUUCUCCUUGUUCUUAUACUCGUUUGCUCAUUUCAUUAGUUUUUUGAGUUAUGUUAUCCAUUUUUGAAGGUGCUUUUCUUAUCAUAUUCCUUCCAUUGACCUUAAAAGAAUCACAUGUACUUCAUCUGCAGAACAUUCAAAAGAUGCUUAUUGAUGGAGUUGAAACAUGGGCACCUAGUAUUUCUGUCAAAAGAGCUGUGGUUGACUUUUCAUCACCCAAUAUUGCCAAAGAAAUGCAUGUUGGUCACUUACGAUCUACUAUUAUUGGUGACACGUUAGCUCGUUUGCUUGAGUUCUCAAAGGUUGACGUUCUACGACGAAACCAUGUUGGUGAUUGGGGGACACAGGUAGAUGCUUCUAUCUUUUCUAAGAGCUUGUCUUUUUUCUAUUUUUAUUUUGUUGUCUACUCUUUUCUUGAGAAUAAUGAAAAUCAGUUUUUUGCUUUCAAAUUUACUGCACCAACAUUUGGCAUUUAAAAUCCAACAAAUUUAUUAUGGUGUCAAAUAGAUUUAUAUGCUAUUCUCUGCUGGUGCAAAGUCGACUAUAAUUUCUCUGCCAAUUUUUGUUUUUGAAAUAAACAAGUGAGGUAUAUAUUAACAUGGUACCAAAAAUAGGAGGUACUACCCAUGGACAAUUUACAUAAGUGUUAGGGAAACCAUGACAUUUCCAAAAUUCUCAUCACUAAUAAUGUCAUAUACUAACAAAAUAACCUCUAAAAAAUGAAUCUACCUAUCCCUUAUUUUGUACAUACUACUCUCAACACCCUCAAAAGUUUUAGAAUUCCUUUCUUUUCAAAUAGUUAAGAAAUCAGUCAAAAAAAUUAAGUUAGCAGUAUUGCCUUUUACAUAUACACCAUCCCAAACCCAAAUGUCCAUACUAACCGACACUGCCACCACCCACGCAAUCCCUAAAAGCCCAUUCACUAUACACCAUAGAUUGUAAGUUAUAGGACACCACAACAAAAGAUGAAUGCACGUCUCCUCCGUUUGAAGACAGCCAUAGCACCUAUUAACCAAAUACAUUCCCCUUCUGAUUUUAUCAAUUGUUAAGAUCUUCUCUAAAGAUGCUUCCCAAGCCAAAAAAGCAAUACGUGGAAGAGCCUUGGUUUUCCAUAUUUGCACAGUCGGGAAAACAGAACUGCUAUUACUCUCCCAAGAACACAGAAAUCUGUAAUAAGUCGAAACAGAAAACUCUCCUCUCUUUUCCCAUUUCCAAACAGCCUGAUCACUGUCUACAUUUAACUGUUUUGCCUCAAGAGUCUUCAGUAACUCUUGAUCCUCACCAAUCUCCCAAUCAUUCAAGUUUCUGGAGACCUCAACCACCCAAACAGUUACCCAAUUGAUAAUACGGUAAGCUUCCUCAACUGUCAUGUUUUUUCUUUGAGCAAUAGAGUAUAUUCUGGGGUACCGUCCCAUGAGGUUCCCAUCACCUAUCCAAACAUCCAACCAAACUUUAUUUUGUUACCUCUACCAAAAUCCCACUUUAGGCAUUGCUGGAAAUUAGGCCACUGCAUUAGUAUAUUCCUCGAUAAUCCUCUUCCGUGGGGAUUGUUUGUCUAUUAUAUCGUUUUGUUUGUGCAUUAUAUCUCAUUUCUUGCUGUUUAUUACUGAAUGAGAAGCUUCAAAUGGGUUUUGAAAUGCUUCCAUUCAUUAUCAGCAGUGACUAUUUUAAGUUUUUUUCCCCUCUUGUUUUGCCAUUUUGAAUGUGCUAUUUUUAAGUUUUGGUUCAUUACUUCAAUCAGUUAUAAAUUUGUUCAAGUUUCUUCUUGCCUGAUCUGACAAGCUAAUUUUUGUAUUUUCUAUAAUUUUUUUUGUUUUGCAGUUUGGAAUGCUAAUUGAAUUCCUGUUNNNNNNNNNNNNNNNNNNNNNNNNNNNNNNNNNNNNNNNNNNNNNNNNNNNNNNNNNNNNNNNNNNNNNNNNNNNNNNNNNNNNNNNNNNNNNNNNNNNNNNNNNNNNNNNNNAUAAAAACAAAAAAAAAAGGUCAUCGUUUUAAUUGAGAGUCUACCAGAUGUUAAGCCAUAUUUGAGACCAUGCACGAGUUUUCAUAUCUUGUUGCAAAGAAUCCUUUUGCUUAUGACAUCAUAUUUUGUCAAAAUCUAAGUAAUCUCUUUAUAAUAUCUUUUUGGUCCAUGUAUGUCCCUACAAAAUGUGAAUUCAAGUCUAGGUGUUAAUAGUUUAACAGGAAAUUCUCUCUGGGCAACUCUGAUCCAUUAUUACCAUACAGUUAUUGCUAUUCCAAUUUGUAUAGACCAUUACCGGCACUAAAAGUGUUAGAUUUCAAUAUAAAAUAUUUUCUUAUGAAGUUAGUUAAUCUAGUGAUCGUGUCAAAUUUCUAAUUUGUGGGGUGCCUCUGGUAGGCAUUUUAUAAAGCAUCAAAAAAGAGAUUCGAUGAAGAUCCUGCUUUUAAGGAGAGGGCACAACAGGCUGUGGUUCGCCUUCAGGUAAACAGUUUUCCUUCUUAUUUUGGGGAUUUGUAUAAAUGAUUCAUCUUUUGCUCCUUUUUUUUUAAUUAUCCUAGUGAUUUAUGAUUUAAGUUUCAUCAUGGAUGAAUUUAAUAUUGGUUAUUUAUUUAACCCAACUCAUUUGCAGGGUGGGGAGUCCAAGUACCGCAAAGCAUGGGCACAAAUAUGUGAAAUCAGCCGCAAUGAGUUUGAUAAAGUUUAUAAACGCCUUGGAGUUCAGCUAGAAGAGAAGGUAAAUUAUUAGUUUUCCAUUCCAUUAAAUCAUUAUGUCACUAAUUUUAGCUUUCUAUAGGCACCUAUAAGAUCUUUUUGUCUCAUGGUUGGUCUUCUUUUUAAUGGAAUGAGAGUGGGUUGAUUUACUAAUUUCAGUUAGUUUUGUUAUAGCAACCAGGUGAGCUUUUACGGAGUGAAUCUCAUAGCUUGCUGGUUCUUUAUUUUCUGUAGGCAUCAAUAUUUAUAUUCUGAAUUUUUACUCUCUAUUUGGAUCAUGUUAAAUGGUAGAAUUUUAAUGUAUGGUAUUUUACGGGCGUGAGAAAACCAUGUUUGUUUCAACUUUCAAGGGUAACAAAUGAUAUUUGACUGACAGAUUUUGGAGUAAAUUUUUAAACCACCAAAUUGGUAGUAUUUAGUGGGCAUUCUAUUUGUUUCCCAUUAUACCCCCAUCUAAUUUAAUUAAUUUCAUAUAUGUUCUGAAAAUUAAAAAUUUAUUAAAUUAAUGUGAUAAUAUUAAUAAUUAUUAUUUAUUUUAUUAAAUAUAAAAUUUUAAUUUGAUUAUGUACAAUAAUUAUUUAUUUAAAUACGAAUAUAAUUAUAUUAAUAAAUAAUUUUUUUUCCUUACACACUUUUUUUAUACCAUUUACUAUUACAUAUAAUAUGUAAGGGUAAAUUAAUAAUUUAGUUAAAAAUACAAUCAUACCAUUCAAUCAUUCAAACAAAAAUAUGGUAUUAACAUAUAUUAAUAAAUCAUCAUCCAAACGUAAAAAAAUUUUACCAUUACAAUCCUGUGUUAUUAUCAUUCAAUUACUGUCUUUACUAUACAUUAAUUAACCAUCAUUGAAAUUUAUCCAAACAAAGUUUUAGGGUCUCAUUUCACCUAGGUGAUUCAGGACUUUCUAUAGAUAGCUUUAUUUAGGAUGCUUUGCAUGAUGUUUUACUAUUGUUUGGGGCUUCUCAUUUUCAAGUGCUUGGAACUGGUGGGUAGUAAAUCAAAAUUAAUGUUCUCAUAGCCAAAGGAUUGUUUGUAGUUGAUCCCAAUUCAGUGGCUUGUGAGUUCUCAAUAUUGUAUUUGUUUUUCUUUUGUAUGCAAAAGAAACAAAUAUGUUUCUUUUGUUUGUAUUUUAUGCAAAUUUGAAUUUUCUAUAUGCUUGCAGUCUAUCUUACUUCCAAUUUAUCAAUAGAAUAAGCAGUUUUGAUUAUGGGAUCCUUUUUAAUAUUUUGUAAAAGGGACAUAUGUAAGAAUGUUUAGAUAGAAGAACAUUGAAUAGUUUGCAUCAAGUAUAUAUGAAGUCAGAAUUUUGUAUAAAAUUCAUACUGUUAUCAUAUUUAAGAAACACCAUUUCUAAUUAUGCGUUUUCCUACUAUUCCAAAAAAAAAUUAUGUGUUUUCCUUGCUAACAGGGGGAAAGCUUCUACAAUCCUUAUAUUCCAAAAGUAAUAGAAACAUUAAGUAAUCAAGGAUUAGUAGAAGAAAGUGAAGGUGCUCGUGUUAUCUUUAUUGAAGGGAUCAAUAUUCCUCUUAUUGUUGUCAAAAGUGACGGCGGUUACAACUAUGCUUCAACUGAUCUAGCUGCUCUUUGGUUAGUGCAUCUCGACACUUUGUUGAAUAAAAUUUGAGGUUGAUAUAUAAUGUCUCAUCCCACAUUUUUUUUGAGAGAAAAUAAUGUCUCAUCCCACAUGAUAGUACCUUAGGGGAAAAAGUGAUAAAUGUUUGUGGCUAGUGAUUGCUAGAGCAUCAUCAACUAGCACUUUUGGGUGGACUUGUGUGUCAAGAACUGGAAAAUAAGGAAUCAUAAUUUGUUCUCAUGAUUAUUAAUUAGUUGCAAUUUAUUAGCAUUCCUAUAGUCUAGUCUAUAUUAGUGGGGUGUGUAGACUAUAAAAGGAAGGUUCUACUGUCAUUAUAAGCAAACAAUGAGUGCAAAAUAUUGAAAAUUCCAAAAUCUCUUGAACUAUAGUUCCAUCCCCAAUUCUUCCAAAUCAAUUAUUUUUUCCUUUGAAGCACAUGAGGAUUCCGGGACCUAACAAUAGUGUUAGAUGAUGCAUCCUGAACUAACUUAACUAAUAUUGAUGUUAUUAUCCUUAAGUAAUUUGUUCAUAUUCUAUAUAGUCCUGUACUAUCUUUCCAAGCAUGUUAAGAGUUUCAAAAGUUCGUAGGCUAUCCAUAUUAUUAUUUUUUUUGAAAUAAAAAGUGUAACGAAUAUAUAUUAAUAGAGUACCAAGAAAAUAGGGGAUACCACCCAUUACAAAAGUGUUACAAUGUAGUUAGUGUGUUAGUGACAACCAAAAUUCUCAUCACUAAUUAUGUCAUGUCCUAAUAAAAUAAAUACAGAAUAAUGCGUUUAUCUAUUUUUUAAUCUAUACAAAUCACCCAAUUUACCCUCAAAAGCCAUAGAAUUUCUCUCCUUCCAUAAAACCCAAAAAAUGGUUAAUGGAAUCAUUUUUGACAGCAUUCUAUCAAAGUGCACAGCAUCCUAAGCCCACAAUUCCUCCCUUACAGAUCCAGCCACUGUCCAAUUUAUACCAAGUAGAUUUUAAAUAAGACUCCACAACUCAAAAGCCACAGGACGCCACGACAACACAUGAUUACACGAUUCUUCUGCUU
rnacentral:lncRNA from 1 species